rnacentral:rRNA from 1 species
UACGUAAGGUGCGAGCGUUACUCGGAAUUACUGGGCGUAAAGCGUGCGCAGGCGGUGAGCUGUGUCCGAUGUGAAAGCCCCGGGCUUAACCUGGGAAUGGCAUUGGAAACUGGCUCGCUGGAGUGUGGCAGAGGGGGGUGGAAUUCCGCGUGUAGCAGUGAAAUGCGUAGAGAUGCGGAGGAACACCGAUGGCGAAGGCAGCCCCCUGGGCUAACACUGACGCUCAGGCACGAAAUCGUGGGGAGCAAACAGG